rnacentral:rRNA from 1 species
UACGGGGGGGGCAAGCGUUGUUCGGAAUUACUGGGCGUAAAGGGCGUGUAGGCGGCGGCGCAAGUGUCGAGUGAAAUCCCAUCGCUCAACGAUGGAACGGCUCGGCAAACUGCGUCGCUUGAGGUCGGUAGAGGUGCUCGGAACUCUAGGUGGAGCGGUGAAAUGCGUAGAUAUCUAGAGGAACGCCUGAGGCGAAAGCGGGGCACUGGGCCGAUUCUGACGCUGAGACGCGAAAGCGUGGGGAGCAAACAGG